GACGAACGCUGGCGGCGUGCUUAACACAUGCAAGUCGAACGGAAAGGCUCUGCCUUUGUGUGGUGCUCGAGUGGCGAACGGAGGAGUAACACGUGGGUAACCUGCCGUUUACUUUGGGCUUAAUUCAGGAAACUGGGGCUGAUACCGGAUAUGAGCUCCUACUGUAUGGUGGGGGGUGGGAAGGUUCGGCGGUUGGGGAUGGACUCGCGGCUUAUCAGCUUGUUGGUGGGGUUGUGGCUUACCAAGGCUUUGACGGGUAGCCGGCCUGAGAGGGUGACCGGCCACAUUGGGACUGAGAUACGGGCCAGACUCAUACGGGAGGCAGCAGUGGGGAAUAGUGCACAAUGGGCGGAAGCCGGAUGCAGCAACGCCGCGUGCGGGAUGACGGCCGUCGGGUUGUAAACCGCUUGCGCCUGUGACGAAGAGUGAGUGACGGUAAUGGGUAAAGAAGCACCGGCUAACUACGUG
rnacentral:rRNA from 1 species